UGGGGAAUAUUGCACAAUGGGCGAAAGCCUGAUGCAGCGACGCCGCGUGAAGGAUGAAGUAUUUCGGUAUGUAAAACUUCUAUCAGCAGGGAAGAAAAUGACGGUACCUGACUAAGAAGCCCCGGCUAACUACGUGCC
rnacentral:rRNA from 1 species